AAUCCUGAUACAGCUUUUUAGCUCACCUGGCCCGAAGGGCCAAGUGAGCUUUUCCCAUCACUUUGCGUCCGGCGUCCGUCGUCGUUAACUUUUACAAAAAUCUUCUCCUCUGAAACUACUAAGCCAAAUUUAAUCAAACUUGGCCACAAUCAUCAUUGGGGUAUCUAGUUUAAAAAAUGUGUCCGGUGACCCCGCCAACCAACCAAGAUGGCCGCCAUGGCUAAAAAUAGAACAUAGGGGUAAAAUGCAGUUUUUGGCUUAUAACUCAAAACCAAAGCAUUUAGAGCAAAUCUGACAUGGGGUAAAAUUGUUUAUCAGGUCAAGAUCUAUCUGCCCAGAAAUUUUCAGAUGAAUCGGACAACCCGUUGAUGGGUUGCUGCCCCUGAAUUGGUAAUUUUGAGGAAAUUUUGCUGUUUUUGGUUAUUAUCUUGAAUUUUAUUAUAGAUAGAGAUAAACUGUAAACAGCAAUAAUGUUCAGCAAAGUUGAUUUACAAAUAAGUCAACAUGACCGAAAUGGUCAGUUGACCCCUUAAGGAGUUAUUGCCCUUUAUAGUCAAUUUUUAACCAUUUUUCGUAAAUCUUAGUGAUCUUUUACAAAAAUCUUCUCCUCUGAAACUACUGGGCUAAAUUAAUCCAAACUUGGCCACAAUCAUCUUUGGGGUAUGUUGUUUAAAAAAUGUGUCCAGUGACCCGGC
rnacentral:lncRNA from 1 species